UAUCAUUCAAUAAAUAUGAGUUACUACUGUGAUUAUUAAGUUUUUUAGCUUGGAUAAAGUAUUAUCUAUAAAUAUUUAUAUCUCAUUCAUAAUUGAGGAAUAAGUAUAACAAGUCACUUUUAUUCACUGGGAGAAACAGUAUAAUAAAACACCACCUAAAAAUGGCCUACAAUUAUAAGUUAAUUAUAUUCUUCCCUAUUUGUUGAUAUUUAAAGAAAGAGGAAAAUAAUUAAAACAUAAUGUCAUAUGAUGGAUUUGUGUUAUAAAUGUUUUCGGGGUUCAGUUUUCAAAAAUCAUACUGUUUCACGAUCUUGUGCUAUAUUAACACCAGCCUCCAAGCCUUAAGGGAGCUAGAUGAUUGAGGUUUUCAUAGUUUCUGUAUGUCUCUUAAAAACUCUGACUUUGACACAUCGAGGAGCCCUUGCUGCCUGAAAAUGAUCGUGGAAUUGCUGAUGUACCCAUCUGCAUCAUCUUCAUGCUACUUUUAGGCUUUCCAACCAGCAGCAGACUUCCUGGGUCUCCAGCCUGCAGACAGAAGAUAGUGGGGCAGCUCAGUCACCAUGAUCAUUUCCUUCAGUGCUGGAAGACUUCUCUUCCACGCUCAAGCUGGCCUGCUGUCCACCCCUCCCUCAAGACCCCACCCG